CCCCUUCCCACAAUCUCCCAAGCACAAAACCAUACAAAGCAUUCCGGCCCAAAUAAAGCUGCAAUACCAGCAUCUUCAACCUUCAGCUCGUGCCUAUUCUUCCAUAAAUGCUUUACAUAAUCAACUUCCUUCCAGAAUGCCUCGUAACGGGAUUCUCGCUCGGGUUCAGAGAGAGAUGCAUGCUUUGUUCGUGUGGCAAUUUCAGCAGGUUUUUUCUCAUAUUCCCACUCUGAUGGUGUACGCGAUGAUUCUCCUCGCGAAUUUCUCAGUUUAUUCCAUGGGGCAUAACAACACUGCGUUCGCAACCUCACAGCCACCAAGGUCGUUUUUAACGACAACCGAGAUGGCUUCGGUACUUGAAAUCGAACCAGAGGUUUGAUUCUUUAGCAAUUAAUGGAGGUUUAAUUUCAUCAGACGAAGAUGAACUGGUGACUCACGGCAAAGGGAAUGGAUAGCUUGGC